CAUUAAGAAGCUAUGCAACAGCACUAGCCUUUUAAGCUAGAAAAAGAGGGACCCCCCCCCCCCUCCUUAAUGA
rnacentral:tRNA from 1 species